ACAAUGGCGUCGGUAAAGACGUGAUGUUGACUGCUGUAAACAGACGUGUAUUAAGAUUUACGAUUUAAACAGCCUUGUACAUUGCUCCUGAGGUUGGGUUUAACUAUUCUGAGGCUAUAUGACUUGCAUAAGGAGAUUGUGGUGUGAGUUCUUGCUUGAAGACUCAG
ensembl:processed_transcript